CUUGUUUCUAACUCCUACCUAUGUAGGGUGCUGGCUUCAGAAAUGCCAACCCCAUCCCAAUUAGAUAAAGACCUAGUAUAGAGAAAAAUCAUGCAAAAAUCAUAAACUUUGCCUCAUUCCUGUAGCAUUAACAGAUGCUCCCUGUUAUGCAGUGGGUAUACUGGAGCCCAAUCAUCUGAUGUCCCUGGUGUUUCAUCUGCUGUUCUGAUGUCAUCACAAUGAGAAAAAAAGUGUUGUAGCCAUCAAGUUUCAGGUGAAUUAUAUAUGCUUUAAAGAUGAAAACAAAAUUAUGCAACUAAAUUAUUUAAUCUCCUAAUGGAGUAUCUGUUGCUGUAAUUCCAAAUGGUCCUGAAUAUUUUAAAAAUAUGUAGAUGUCCAAUAUAUGUUUGUUAAAUUAAGUUGUUUGACUGUAAACAGUGUUUUCUUUAAGAAUCACUCAAAUUAAUAAUCAGGAACAUUUUUCUGGAGGAAAAUAAAAAAAUAAAAAAAAAUAAAAAAAGUUUGGCUACCUGAA